GUCAACCACAACAGCAUUUCAUGCUUCUAGAAGCCCUGCGAAAAAUCUGUCACCGGUACAACAUCUGCCAAAAGGAGCAAACCUUGACCCAAUUUUGGCUAGUUGAUGUAGACUGUUAAAAAAACAGGACAUUAUCUAUUUCAUGGAAAUUUCCAACACAAUUGUCGGUUGCACAAAUGGUUUGGGGUGAGUAAUACUUUAGGAUUAUAAGUUUGAACUAUGAGCAUGCGGUAAUAGUGAUGAUUUCCCUUUAAAUCAUAUCUUGAUAGGCCUCUCAAACACAGUAUGUUUAGUAUGAAACAGCAAUUCUAAAGAUCUGACUUGCAGCAUUUAAUUUUGAGAGUUAUUAGUUAAUAUAAAUGCAAAUGCAUAGCAAUCCAUUUGAAAAAUCUACCAUGGCAGCCUAGUUUUUAGCAAAUUACCAUAGUUAGUCCAGUUCAAAUUAAAAUAGAAAAACUGUGGUCUGACACUUUGAAGGAAUAGUUCACCUAAAAAUGAAACUUUUCACUUCACAAGACAUUAACUGAUGGACUGGAGUGGUGUGGAUUACUUGUGGAUUAUUGUGAUGUUUUUAUCAGCUGUUUGAACUCUCAUUCUGACGGCACCCAUUCACUGCAGAGCAUCCAUUGCUGAGCAAGUGAUGUAAUGCUACAUUUCUCCAAAUCUGAUGAAGAAACAAGCUCAUAUAUAUCUUGGAUGACCUGAGAGUACAUUUUCAGCAAAUUUGGAAUCCACUAUUCCUUUAAGCAAGUAUGUGAACACUGCAAACACUGCUAGUAAUGAAAUAUGUCAGCCUGCAAUUCAUAAUACAACCCUAAACAUCUAAAGCAAGUAUUAGCAUAGACUACGUUCAGUGUUCUCUUUUACAACAGCUGUCUGAAGAGAAUCUUCCUCAAGUAAGUUAAAGUUAAACUGUCAACAUGUUUAUUGCUACAGACAGGUACCUGAUAGGGCACAGAUAUUAUACAACCAUAGUAAUGCAAGACAGCAUGUGAGUGUAUUUAGUGCACACUUACAGUCCACACUUUCAUCCUGAAUGUUUCUGACCUCGGUUGAGUUUGUUGUAUUGUACCCACAUGUUUUGGUGAUUAAAUGGUCUCUAAAAAGAUAAUUGGCUGC
ensembl:lncRNA